AAGGGAGAUGAAUGCUCCUUAUCAAUACCAAGAAUCUGAUGAAAGAAAACUCUUUGAGGAACGCUGAUCGUCUAUCGCAUUCCUGGAAUGUUUUGGUGUUCAAAGAUAUGAGUUUUUAAAGAUGGUCCGAUUUGUUUAGAAAGAUUCGUUGGAGAAGAGAAUUUUUGACAGCUGACAAGUAAAUAUAGAGAAAGAAAUACCAAUUGUUUGUUUACAUUUGCUACAUCAUCAGUCUAAAUUCAGUCUUUUUAUUUUGAGUGAAAAAAAAAGAACAUGCCAUCAUCACGUUUCUAUGUGGCAGGAAUGUUAUUGUUCUUAAUGAUGCUGAGCUUUGAUAUGAAAACUACAGAAGGUAGACGAUGUACCAGAAUUUGCGAGAAAGGGAGAUGCAGACCCGUAUGCUCUCGUUCUAUGGAUUUUGUAGAUGAAGCACCCGUGGAUGAGACAGAAAUACUUAGAAAUCUGGGUUAUCAGUGACAAGAGCAUCGACCGAACCUGAUAUAAUCUGAAGUAAGGAUCAUCAGAUGUAAUUUUUCCUCACUGACUGGUUGACAUAAUGGAUUGAUUCAGCAGAAAACGCUUCAAAAAUUGGUCAUUUAUGUUUUAAUCUCAUUACCUUUUGUUACAAACUUAUUUUUGCAUGACUUAUUUAAACAAUAUAUCGUACAAAUCUGUCAGUUUCCAUUACAGUAAACUACUCUUUUAAAAAUAUUUUUGCAUGAACAAAAAGGAAAUUAGAUUUAGAAUAUUUAUAUUCGUUUUUGAACUCGUAAAACUCUAUGGUAACAGCUUAAAUCUUCUUACAUUCAUUUAAUAUUUCUGUAUAACUAGCAGUAGAUUUAGACCAUUAAAAUAGUAGUAUACAACACUUACAUACUUAUUGUAAGAAUGUAGAAGUUAUGUGCUUAAACUUUUGAUGUAUUUUCGAAUUUAUGUAUAAGCUGCUUAACGUGCAAAUAAACUAGAGUAACAUCAAA